AUGGGCUGCUGCAGUAGAGGUCAGGUGACUGUGACUCAGACUCCUUCAGUGCAAACUGUUGCUCCAGGAAACACAGUCACCAUCAACUGUAGAACCAGUAGCAGAGUGUAUGAUGGUGACACUCUCGCCUGGUACCUGCAGAAACCUGGAGAAGCUCCUAAACUCCUGAUCUAUGAGGCUACUACUUUACAGUCAGGGACUCCAGCUCGUUUCAGCGGCAGUGGAUCGAAUACUGACUUCACUCUGACCAUCAGUGGAGUCCAGACUGAAGAUGCAGGAGAUUACUACUGUCAGAGUUAUCAUUAUAUCAGUAGUAGCGAUGUGUUCACACAGUGUUAGAGCGUCGUACAAAAA